rnacentral:rRNA from 1 species
GACGUAGGGGGCGAGCGUUAUCCGGAGUUACUGGGCGUAAAGAGCCCGUAGGCGGUGCGACGCGUUUUGCCUGACAGCUCUCGGCUUACCUGGGAGAGAGGGCGAAAGACGGUCGCACUUGAGGACCAGAGAGGGACCUGGAAUUCCGGGUGGAGCGGUGAAAUGCGUAGAGAUCCGGAGGAACACCAAAGGCGAAGGCAGGGUCCUGGCUGGUGACUGACGCUGAGGGGCGAAAGCCAGGGGAGCGAACGGG